GACGAACGCUGGCGGCGUGCUUAACACAUGCAAGUCGAACGGAAAGGCCCUGCUUUUGUGGGGUGCUCGAGUGGCGAACGGGUGAGUAACACGUGAGUAACCUGCCCUUUACUUUGGGAUAACUUCAGGAAACUGGUGCUAAUACCGGAUAGGAGCUCCUGCUGCAUGGUGGGGGUUGGAAAGUUUCGGCGGUUGGGGAUGGACUCGCGGCUUAUCAGCUUGUUGGUGGGGUAGUGGCUUACCAAGGCUUUGACGGGUAGCCGGCCUGAGAGGGUGACCGGCCACAUUGGGACUGAGAUACGGCCCAGACGCCUACGGGAGGCAGCAGUGGGGAAUAUUGCACAAUGGGCGGAAGCCUGAUGCAGCAACGCCGCGUGCGGGAUGACGGCCUUCGGGUUGUAAACCGCUUUAGCCUGUGACGAAGAGUGAGUGACGGUAAUGGGUAAAGAAGCACCGGCUAACUACGU
rnacentral:rRNA from 1 species